UACAGAGGUCUCGAGCGUUGUUCGGAUUCAUUGGGCGUAAAGGGUGCGUAGGUGGCGCUGUAAGUCGGGUGUGAAAUCCUGAGGCUUAACCUCGGAACUGCAUUCGAUACUGCGGUGCUUGAGGACUGGAGAGGAGACUGGAAUUCAUGGUGUAGCAGUGAAAUGCGUAGAGAUCAUGAGGAAGACCAGUGGCGAAGGCGGGUCUCGUGGACAGUUCCUGACACUGAGGCACGAAGGCCAGGGGAGCAAACGGG
rnacentral:rRNA from 1 species